UCCUCGUUGAAGCGAGGCAGUCUGUCCAGAGUGCUCCAGCCUUUCGGCCGGGUGGCAACAGGACACAGGGGUUGCGCUCGUUACGGGACUUAACCCAACAUCUCACGACACGAGCUGACGACAACCAUGCACCACCUGUACACCGACCUUGCGGGGCGACCAUCUCUGGCCGUUUCCGGUGUAUGUCAAGCCUUGGUAAGGUUCUUCGCGUUGCAUCGAAUUAAUCCGCAUGCUCCGCCGCUUGUGCGGGCCCCCGUCAAUUCCUUUGAGUUUUAGCCUUGCGGCCGUACUCCCCAGGCGGGGCGCUUAAUGCGUUAGCUGCGGCACGGACCCCGUGGAAUGGGACCCACACCUAGCGCCCAACGUUUACGGCGUGGACUAC
rnacentral:misc_RNA from 1 species